rnacentral:misc_RNA from 1 species
AACGCACAUUGCGCCCGCCGGCAUUCCGGCGGGCAUGCCUGUUCGAGCGUCAUUUCGACCCUCAAGCCUUAAUGGCUUGGUGUUGGGGCGCCCGCGCCAGCGCGCGCGGGGCCCUCAAGUCUAUCGGCGGGCUCGUCGGACACUGAGCGCAGUAAUUAUUCUUCGUUCGGCCUGUCCCGGCGGGUUUCCUGGCCGUUAAACACCUCAAAUUACCAAAGGUUGACCUCGGAUCAGGUAGGAAUACCCGCUGAACUUAA